rnacentral:rRNA from 1 species
GACCCUACGGGAGGCAGCAGUGAGGAAUAUUGGUCAAUGGGCGAGAGCCUGAACCAGCCAAGUCGCGUGAAGGAUGACGGCCCUAUGGGUUGUAAACUUCUUUUGUCAGGGAGCAAUUGAGUCCACGUGUGGGCUUAGCGAGAGUACCUGAAGAAAAAGCAUCGGCUAACUCCGUGCCAGCAGCCGCGGUAAUACGGAGGAUGCGAGCGUUAUCCGGAUUUAUUGGGUUUAAAGGGUGCGCAGGCGGAAGAUCAAGUCAGCGGUAAAAUUGAGAGGCUCAACCUCUUCGAGCCGUUGAAACUGGU